GAUGAACGCUGGCGGCGUGCCUAAUACAUGCAAGUCGAGCGAACGGACGAGAAGCUUGCUUCUCUGAUGUUAGCGGCGGACGGGUGAGUAACACGUGGAUAACCUACCUAUAAGACUGGGAUAACUUCGGGAAACCGGAGCUAAUACCGGAUAAUAUUUUGAACCGCAUGGUUCAAAAGUGAAAGACGGUCUUGCUGUCACUUAUAGAUGGAUCCGCGCUGCAUUAGCUAGUUGGUAAGGUAACGGCUUACCAAGGCAACGAUGCAUAGCCGACCUGAGAGGGUGAUCGGCCACACUGGAACUGAGACACGGUCCAGACUCCUACGGGAGGCAGCAGUAGGGAAUCUUCCGCAAUGGGCGAAAGCCUAACGGGGCAACGCCGCGUGAGUGAUGAAGGUCUUCGGAUCGUAAAACUCUGUUAUUAGGGAAGAACAUAGGUGUAAGUAACUGUGCACAUCUUGACGGUACCUAAUCAGAAAGCCACGGCUAACUACGU
rnacentral:rRNA from 1 species